AUGUGCAAAAAUCAUGGCUGCUGCAAUAACAGCUGCACGCUAAAUCUUAAUGACAUUGCUGUGUGUCUGCCUGAAACAAGAGUAAGCAUCAAUGGAUUAACUGAAUUUAAUAGGGUUUGCAGGUAUUUAUGCUACCCAAGCAAAAAAGGUUCUCAAGAUUACAAUGCUGAGGAAAAGGAUAUUACUGAUAUGCUUCUGGAAAAAUUCAGCACACUGAAAUAUUUUGAUUCUCUGAUUAUCAACAGUUACAGGAGCGGCAGCGUGAUUGUAGAUUAUACGGUGCAGUUAAUGAGUUCAGUUACAAUUGAUGAGUUGGAAAAUUUUACCCAAACACUGCCUAAUUCUGUUCUGGUAACAACAGGCCUCAUCACUAUUAACGGUCCUCAGAAGGCAAUUGACAUCGGCUCCUCUGUAAGUAUAACUUGUAAUCCACCACAAGAGCUGGGAGAGGUAAAGUGGUUCUUAACAGAUAGGCAGAACAAAACAACAGAGAUCACAAUAGGAAAAGAGGCCGCCUUGAAGAAGAUCAAGUUGAUGGACAUUGUUGAACUGUAUGACAUUUCAGGAAGCUGGAAAGGAACACUAAAAUGUGUGUACAAAAGAAGGUCCAUAGAACACACAGCA
ensembl:lncRNA